GGUCAUUUUUUUCCCUUCUCCCCAAAAGGGGGACAGGAGGGUGAAAGGGAUCCUUUUUCCCCCCUUCUUCGCUGUCACAUGUGAAACCACGACAUGCUUAUUCUGUACUGAGCAGUUCAUGUUGAAGAAAAUUAAUUUGCAUGGUUGCAAAAUCAGAACUGAUUGAAGAAAAGGAAGACUUCUUUGCUAAACUGACUUGCUAAAUGAGUGAAGACAACUAAUUUCACCUCUGACUCAGUUCAUACUGAUGUUUUUUAUCUUUGGCUCCUCCAUCUCUAAAGUCUUCCUUUGCAUCAAGAGCUAAGGCUUCAACUUUUGUUUUUAUCAAAAAAACAAACGAACCAAAACACAAUCUGCUUUAAGAACUCUUAGGCCUCCCGGAGAAGUCCAGUGAAAAUGAGAAGACUGCAUGCAGUUUGUCUGAGGAUUGACUGUAAAAAUAAGCAUACUAACUAUACAGCUCUUAAAUGCUAAUCUCUGCAAUAGAAAACCUGGAAGAAAAUACUUGUCUGCUUUGCAUCGCAUCCUCAGUGUUUCUGUGGGAAAAUAUAACAAUCUCCUUUCAGAAUUAAUAGUAGUAUCCAUUUUAGAUACUUCUAGCAAUCAUAAUGAACUGUACAGCUACACAAGUGCUUUGUCCUUUAUACAGGAUAUUUCCAAAAGGAAAGUCGAAAACGAAACUGUAUAAAUGAAAAUGAAGAACAUUCAAGAAGGCAUAAUCAUAUCCUAAUAGUAAUUUUAACUUCUUUGGCCAAAAUGAAGUCUCAGAAUCACAAACGUUGAGUUGAGUAAACAUGGCUCUU
rnacentral:lncRNA from 7 species